rnacentral:rRNA from 1 species
CCCCCAGACUCCUACGGGAGGCAGCAGUGAGGAAUAUUGGUCAAUGGGCUUACGCCUGAACCAGCCAAGUCGCGUGAGGGAAGACUGCCCUAUGGGUUUUAAACCUCUUUUGUCAGGGAGCAACGCCGGCUACGUGUAGCCGGACUGAGAGUACCUGAAGAAAAAGCAUCGGCUAACUCCGUGCCAGCAGCCGCGGUAAUACGGAGGAUGCGAGCGUUAUCCGGAUUUAUUGGGUUUAAAGGGUGCGUAGGCGGAAUGCAAAGUCGGCGGUAAAAGCGGGGGGCUCAACCUCGCUCCGCCGUUGAAACUGGCGUUCUUGAGUGGGCGAGAAGUAUGCGGAAUGCGUGGUGUAGCGGUGAAAUGCUUAGAUAUUGCGCAGAACUCCGAUUGCGAAGGCAGCAUACCGGCGGCGAUCUGACGCUGAGGCACGAAAGCGUGGGUAUCGAACAGGAUUAGAUACCCGGGUA